rnacentral:rRNA from 1 species
AGAGACAGCAGCAGCCACGGUAAUACAGAGGGUGCGAGCGUUAAUCGGAUUUACUGGGCGUAAAGCGUGCGUAGGCGGCUUCUUAAGUCGGAUGUGAAAUCCCUGAGCUUAACUUAGGAAUUGCAUUCGAUACUGGAAAGCUAGAGUAUGGGAGAGGAUGGUAGAAUUCCAGGUGUAGCGGUGAAAUGCGUAGAGAUCUGGAGGAAUACCGAUGGCGAAGGCAGCCAUCUGGCCUAAUACUGACGCUGAGGUACGAAAGCAUGGGGAGCAAACAGGAUUAGAUACCCCUGUAGUACCUGUCUCUUAUAA